ACUCCGUACGGGAGGCAGCGAAGUGGGAAUAUUGGCACAAUGGCGCAGCCGAUGCAGCGACGCGCGGUGGGGAUGACGGCCUUCGGGUUGUAAACCUCUUUCAGUACCGACGAAGCGCAAGUGACGGUAGGUACAGAAGAAGCACCGGCCAACUACGUGCCAGCAGCCGCGGUAAUACGUAGGGUGCGAGCGUUGUCCGGAAUUACUGGGCGUAAAGAGCUCGUAGGUGGUUUGUCGCGUUGUCCGUGAAAUCCCACGGCUUAACUGUGGGCGUGCGGGCGAUACGGGCAGACUGGAGUACUGCAGGGGAGACUGGAAUUCCUGGUGUAGCGGUGGAAUGCGCAGAUAUCAGGAGGAACACCGGUGGCGAAGGCGGGUCUCUGGGCAGUAACUGACGCUGAGGAGCGAAAGCGUGGGGAGCGAACAGGAUUAGAUACCCUGGUAG
rnacentral:rRNA from 1 species